CCCGGCUGCAGGGCGCUCGCCUUCCUCCCUCCCGGAUCCAGGCGCUUCAGGCUGGGUGGCGACGGAGCCCAGGAGCUCCUGCCCGAGCCGACCUGCCCCCUCCUCUCCCAGGGCCACUGACCAGAGGAAAUCAAAACUGAACUGACUGAGCUCUGAUGUGGAGUAGCCAGUGGGGUCUUCCGAUGCAGUUCAGGGUGGCCUUCAACUUGCAGUGAUC